GUGUCAGCCGCCGCGGUAAUACAGAGGGGGCUAGCGUUGUUCGGAAUCACUGGGUGUAAAGGGUGCGUAGGCGGUCAGUUAAGUCUGAUGUGAAAUCCCUCGGCUCAACUGGGGAACUGCAUUGGAAACUGGCUGGCUCGAGUACCGGAGAGGGAAUCGGAAUUCCUGGUGUAGCGGUGAAAUGCGUAGAUACCAGGAGGAACACCGGUGGCGAAGGCGGAUUCCUGGCCGAGUACUGACGCUGAGGCACGAAAGCGUGGGGAGCGAACGGGAUUAGAUACCCCGGUAGUCCACGCCCUAAACGAUGGGUACUAGAUGUUGGGGGUAUCGACCCCCUCAGUGUCGUAGCUAACGCGUUAAGUACCCCACCUGGGGAGUACGUUCGCAAGAAUGAA
rnacentral:rRNA from 1 species